rnacentral:rRNA from 1 species
UACGUAGGGUGCAAGCGUUAAUCGGAAUUACUGGGCGUAAAGCGUGCGCAGGCGGUGAUGUAAGACAGUUGUGAAAUCCCCGGGCUCAACCUGGGAACUGCAUCUGUGACUGCAUCGCUGGAGUGCGGCAGAGGGGGAUGGAAUUCCGCGUGUAGCAGUGAAAUGCGUAGAUAUGCGGAGGAACACCGGAUGGCGAAGGCAAUCCCCUGGGCCUGCACUGACGCUCAUGCCACGAAAGCGUGGGGAGCAAACAGG